rnacentral:rRNA from 1 species
GAUGAACGCUGGCGGCAGGCCUAAUACAUGCAAGUCGAACGAGUGGCGGACGGGUGAGUAAUGUCUGGGAAACUGCCUGAUGGAGGGGGAUAACUAGUGGAAACGGUAGCAAAUACCGCAUACCAUCAGAUGUGCCCAGAUGGUAUUAGCUAGUUGGUGGGGUAACGGCUCACCAAGGCGACGAUCCCUAGCUGGUCUGAGAGGGUGACCAGCCACACUGGAACUGAGACACGGUCCAGACUCCUACGGGAGGCAGCAGUAGGGAAUAUUGCGCAAUGGGCGCAAGCCUGAUGCAGCCAUGCCGCGUGUAUGAAGAAGGCCUUCGGGUUGUAAAGCACUUUCAGCAGGGAGGCGUUACCCGCAGAAGAAGCACCGGCUAACUCCGUGCCAGCAGCCGCGGUAAUUC